rnacentral:lncRNA from 1 species
UGCUGCUUGCUGGGAGAGGACAUUCGGAAUGCCUUUCAGUGCCUGGCUUCCUGAGCUAUCUCACAGUAGCCAGGCAGCUUGGGGCAAUCUGACUGCAUCUUCACCUUCAGCCCUGCAGGAAUCUGGAUGCAGGCCAAAUACAGCAGCUCGAGAGACAUGCUGGAUGAGGAUGGGGAUACCACCAUGAGCCUGUAUUCUCAAGCCUCAACUAUCACCCGGCAGCUAGAGCCCAGGCAAGCAGGUAUUCUCGUCUCCUGGAGUUCAAGCAGACAGAGUUUGAAAAACGUAUUUGAUGAGGUACCUCUCUUAGGAAUAUACAAAGUGGAGGGAAGAGGAAAUAUUUUCAAGAUUUGUAGUGCUAAGUAACUCUGCACUUUCCGGAACUGAACGUGCCACAUAUAAACAACUGAAAAAAAAACUUAGUCUCCACACAGGUGUUUUGUUUUCUGAAAUCCUAUUAGCACAGUGGUUUGCAGUUGAGGGGUUGUCAAAUUUUCUGAGAAGGAAUAGCAUACAAAGGUCAAACUGUAUGCAUAUUAAAGCAACAUCCCCUCCCCUUUUUCUUCCAAUGAAGACCAAAUCAAGUGUUGCUUUUUCUUUUUUUAUUUUUUACCAUCUGUGAUCUGAUUUGGAAAUUUAGAUAAAUGAAAACUAGUGUUGAACUCAUGGCUUUAAAAGGAAGAUUUCCAAAUGAACCAAUUAACCCUGGUAUUUUGUAAUAAUAAUUUUGCAUUUUGAAGCUGCAAGAUCUUGGGAAGAGUCAUGACAACAUCAGGUGUUUGGUUUUACUCUCUGUGAAAUGAGGGAUGAUUAAAACAAAUGCUUUCUGAGGCAUCCCCUUAGCUCUAAAUUCCAUGAUUUGAUAAUUUAAAUAGUGGCCUCCGAUUUCAAUUACUCCAAUCCUUAUUUUCACUCAACUCUAUUGAUCUUAGAAUAUUAUUUAGAAGGUUUAUCAGAGUAAGAAAAUAUUUCAUUUUAGUUGCAUAUGACUUCUAUCUUAUCAUUUUAUUUAUAACCUUUCAUCCUAUGAUACAGUAAUACAAAAUUUUCAGUUCCAUUGAUUUUCAUAGUUCACGUACAUUAUUCCCUUGACUACUAAGCCAUCUAAAGCAGAACUGACUUUAUUCUAGAGAAGAGCUCACAUGGUACUGUACAUAGGACUAGGUUCUUGGUUCUACUGUGAGCUAUGCCAUUACCAUUUUUGUGAUCAUGAACACAGUACUUAAGUGUUCUGAGCUUCAAGUUUAUUUAAAAAACAUCAAUGAUAGUAGAUGGGUAUUCAGUGCUUAUGCUGUGUCUGGUAUUGUUUUAAGUAUUUUAUGCAUAUAAGUUCAUGUUAAAUUUAACUAACAUUAAACAGAAGUGGCAAAACCUUCCAUAAAGUGGCCAUGAAUACUUAGAGGUAAAUGAUGUAAAGUACUUGAUAUAUCACAGACACUUCAAAAAUGUGAACUUCCUUUUGAUAUUUAAUACUUUGAGAAUCCCUAAAGUGUUCUGUUUAACAUUUUAGUGUCAGUCUGCAUCAGAGAGAUCCUUAUUUGAUGCUUGUAUCUUAACAUGUCAUUUCCCUUCUGACCAUAUGCAGGUUUUUCUCACAUCUGUAAAUCAGGUCAGAGCCUUUUUCACUGUUUUUUUUUUUUUUACUUUUCUCUUUAGUUUUUUCCCCCCUUCCCUACAUUAAACCGUUACAUUCACUUUCUAUGCAUAAAUGACCCUCCACCUGAGUCCCACUGAUAACGGCUUUUUGUUUUUCAACUAAACUAUUCAGUAAGCUGUCAGGGAACACUGGGGGAUUUCCAGUCUCCUUGACCUAAAGCUAAGUGGCAACAGGAGAGAUGUGGUUUCUGUAGCCACAGGAUGUGUGUAAUAGGAUACUAAAUGCUUUUCUUCUACAAACGUUAUGAAGAAUCAGUUCUUAGGGCUUUGAUUUUGAGCAGCUUGUGUUUAACAACAUUUUUCACCUCUGAUUGGAGCCAGAAACUCUUACAAGGAUUAGUGAUCAGCAUAAGCAGGAACAGUGUGUACAAAUAAGUUCUGUUAAGGUUGGAGGAUGGAGAGAGGGGUGUAGCAAGAUAAAACACAAAUGCAGCAUUUGGCAGUCUCUUUGUAAGAAAUGGAAAUCAGAACAGUUAGGAGCGGAGAUUACAAAGAAAUAUCUUGGAGGCAAACAUCUGGAAAUAGUUACCUUAGCCUACAUAAAUGAUAUCUUGUUUUCAUGUUCUUGUGAUAAUGCAAAUAUUUGGAAGAAAGUCACUAUGAAAGUCUCUUAAGAAAAUAUAUCUGAUAUAACUUUGUGUUAAAAACAAUGGCAAUGAUAACUCUUGAAAAAAAUUUUUUGGCAACAUAGAAUAUUCAAAGUCAAUAUAAUGCUGUGGCAAAAUUGUGAAUUGGCACAUAUAUUUAUUGUACAGAUUUUUAUUUUCUCAUUAAAAAUCAUAAAUCUCAAUCAUGUUUAUGCUAAAAAUACCAACAAAAUAGAAAGUAAAAAUGAAACCCCUCACACAUUUUCCAUAAACAUAUGUUUAGGGUACUGUUAUAUCAGGCAAUUGCAAAGUACUGAGGAUACAAUGUCAAAUGUGAUAUAAUCCCAGCUUAGUCUAAUACCAUUCUCAGCUAAGCUACAAUUAUAAUGGCAUGCUGUGGUGGAAGCAUGUACUGGGUACAAAUGACUGUCUGAUUUCUCUCUGAUAGGGAUAAAGGAGAUCAGGAAUGACUUGAGAGAGGGAGUGAGCAUUGCAUCAAGUUGACAUUAGGAUGUUCCACGUGAUGAGGAAUCAGGAGGCGGGGUUCAGGGUUGGGGACCCUACAGGAAAAGAUACAUGUAAAGUUGGAGGGGGAGACUGGUGAAAGGAAAGUCUGGUAAGUUAGGACUUUUAGGGCCUACUAAGGUGUUUAAAUUCCAUCAAUUGUUAAAAUGAGAUCAAUGAAGGAUUUAAACAGAGAUAAACAUAAAAUGUGCUCUUAGAAGUUCCUCUAGGCUAAAAUGAAGAGGACGAACUGAAGGAAUAUAGAACUGGAUAAGCUGACACCCAGUGUUUUCACUGGUCUGGGUAGAUUAGAAUCCUGAAUUGAGGUAGUAGGGUAAGAAGGAGGAAGAGGAAUCGGAUAUGAGAGAUGUUGAGGAGAAAGAGCUUAAAGAUUGGUGUUCAGUUGCAUGUAAGAAGUCGACCUAUAAUUGCAUCAACCGUAGGUUGGCUAAAGUCUGUCAGAUAUUCUAUGGAGAGGGCCAGAAACUUUAGGAGGAACAGAAAAAGUAACAAAUUCAGUCUGACUUUAAGGUAGUCUGGUUGGAGGCAAGAUAUGCCAUUUGUGGUUGUCCAAAGACAUUGGUAUGUGAAGGAUGUGGGCUUGUGGUAAGAAUUCUGAGCUACACGUAUAUGUAGAAAUUACCGGCAUAGUAAAUAAACAAACAAGUGCUUAAGCAAUGAAGUAAAAUAAAUAGUACUUAAAUUUAUGGGAGUGAGUGAGAUCACACAGGGAGGGAGGGAAUGUAAAAUGAAAAGACAGCAGAACAGAAGAAUAGUGACAAGGAGAGGAGCUUGGGGAAUAGCUACAACUGAAGGACAGGAAGAACAAGAGGAUCCAAUAGGAGCUUCUAGGACUAAGAAGUAGAGAGGGAUGGAGUAUGGAGCCGGGGGAGAGAGAGGCAUCGAGGAAGGCAGGAAAUAGUAAAUUCAAAAGUAAUGGGAAAGCCAAGGACACUGAGUAGUAAUUGAUGAAUUAUUAUAGGAAUGAGGGAAGGCUUUUUAAAAUUACUUUUUAAGGUGCGAGAGAUUCUAACUUAAUCAUAGAUUGAAAAGAAGCAUAGGAGACUAACUUCACAUUAACAUGUUGACGAGAGAGUGAAGUGACAGAUGGACAAAGAUUCUAGCUAAAAACUAAACGUUAUCCUAGCAAAAACAGGAAAAAAAAUUAAAAUAACACUUAAUAUUAAAUUCAAUUCCGACUUUUUUCCUACUCAUAUUAAUUACAAUAUUAUUGCAUUUUCCUCCAGCUUUUUACUUUUGUUUCCUUAACUACAGUAUAAACCCCUCAUGCAGCGGUGUGGCACGAAUCACACCCCAUUGAUUCAACAAAUCUUUGAAGCACAUCCACUGAAUACUAAACAUUAUGGUAGGCUCUGGAAAGGCCUUGGUUUUGAGGCACUUAGAAAAGUGGGAGGAAUAAUUGGAAUCAAUCAUUCUAAUACAAUGUCAUUUAGGGCUACUGAAUGCAUACCAGAGGCAUAGAAGCCACAUAGGAAUGAAUGUGUUACUGACUGUGUCUAGUUUUGCAUCUUCUUAGAUAAGUAGACAGGUGCUCUGAAUCUGGAAGGCUCAGUCCAAGUUUUCUAAACAAAGCAAAAUGUGGCACUUGGUCACUUUUCCCUAGCAAGGACCACAGUGCAAAGAUCCACCAGCAGAGAGGCAGGCACUAGCCUGGUGUACAUGCCAGAGAUACAACCUUUAAGGAAUAAAAUUAAGAGGCAAGAGUUCAGAGGAAACGAUGAGGUGCCAAUUCUGUAUUAAAUUUUAGAUAAGGAUAAUUUGGGGGAAUCACAAAAUCUUGUAAUGUGGCUUUUUGCAAAUUAUUGAAAUUCUCUUUGUUUUCCAGCUGUUAAGACCCUUUAUAGUUCAGAGAAAGAGAACAUUUUGUGUAUUGUCUGCUUAAUUUCUUGCAGGCCCUGGGCUUGGAGAAGUGUAAAGGUUUCUCUCUCUGUCACCUGAUAAAGGGUAACUGGUCAAAUAUGACAACUCCCUUUAUCCAUAAAAUUUCAUAUAAUGACAAAGGAGUUUGUACUCAAAACUUGACCCUGACAACUGUAGCCUUUUAUAGUAUGGUUAUAGUAAGAGGAUACAGGAAAGGAGUGUUUUUUUUCUAUAUAUAUCUUAUUAUUCCUAGGGAUGUUUAUAUCAUUCCUUGGCCUGUCCACACCUCUUUCUAAACAUGCCUCAGGAGACAGUGUAGGGAUUCUCGUCCAAAAAAUAAAACCACAUUAAAGCCAAACCAAACUCAUGCACCUCCUGGCUUAUUUUUGUGAAAAUCUCUCUCUUUAUUUUAGGGUGGGAGUGGUCCCUAGAGAGAGGCUUCAGCAUGAUUAGGAACACUUGAGAUAAAACUCAGGAACAUUGGACUAACAGUUAGAAGAAAAACAUUAGAGGGGAAAACAGCUUUGAAGGAAAAAUGAAACGUUCAAGUUCAUGGUCUUUCCAUCAUGGAAGCUUGGUUUCCUAGGACAUGACCAUGACUGGUGUAGAAAUACCCCAAGGUAAGAUUUCUCUGGGUCUUUAGAUAAAACAGGGAUGUAUUAUGAAUAUUGAGGAGGAAAGAAAGAUUUCAAAUGCAAAACUUGAUCAGGUAAAGAUGAUUCCUUGGAAGGGAUUUUUAAAAAACUGGUUCUUAGCAGAAGACAUGUUAUACUUUAUUUUUCUAUCCUAGAGGCAAUUUCAGGAAGGAUCAUGUAUUUGUUCUUUUCAUGGAUAUAUUAUUAAAUAAUGCUCUAAUAUCUAAAGUCAAGGCUCUGACAUUAUUGUAAAGAUUUAAGUUUACUCUUUUUGGUUCAUUAGGCAGAAAAUCAACACUUCCCUUGUCCAUAAUAUUAUCCAAGGGAAAGCAUAAAUAAUUUGGUUGAUUUUUAUAGUUCUUCUCCUGAAGUCUAGUUUUGUGGAAGCUGAAGAUGAGAGAGCUAAAUAGAAGUUGUUUACUCAUUUUGGAGCAAGUUAAGAAAAAUGNCCUGGGAAAUAUUAUUCAUAAAAAGGGAUAUAAUUUUUAAUUUUUAUGACUUUGAGAUAUAUAUUCAUAAUAAGGUUUAGUAGGGGUAUCCAGGCAUAUUAUAGAGAUACAGAAUAGACAUUCAUUAAUUCACUGAAAUUAUUUGAGCUAUUUCAAUUAUUGGUCUAGUUGCCAGACUGCAAUAGUGGCUAUUUAAAUUUUAAUCUUUUCCAAGAAAGAGUUUACUUUAAAAAAAAUGUUUACCUUUAUUUUAUUUAUUUAUAUGGUGCUGAGGAUCAAACCCAGUGCCCCAUGCAGGUGAGGCAAGCGCUCUACCACAGAGCCAUAACCCUAGCCCAAGAAUUUACUUUCUAGUGGGGUAAGAUAGAUACAAAACAAAAGAAAUAAAUGAGUCAUAUAUCUUUAAAGGUAAUAAGAAAUAUGAAGGAAAAAAAAACAUGAGGAACUUGGUACAUCUGGAAGCUAGGAACAUACAUUUAUUUUAGGGUGGGAGUGGUCCCCAGAGAGAGGCUUCAGCAUGAUUAGGAACACUUGAGAUAAAAUAAAAUUUCUUGGACUAUAUUUAAUUUAAAAAUGUUUAGGGUUUUAGAGACAUUUGGCCUAAGCUAUGUUCUGCUUCUGAUCUUGUUUUUUUUUUUUUUUUCCCAUUCUUUGAGCUGAAAUUCUCUUAAAGUCAAUGCCCUGAAGAAAGCAUACUUUUCUAGGAAAAUGUAGAAUAAACCAUAUAGGUCAGCUGGUUGAAGGGCACCCAGAGGAAGUGCAUCUUUUAUAUUUGUUCAGGACAUAGAAUCUCAUGCAAGUCAUUGUAUAGAAACCUAUAGGAUUGGGACUUAUAUUUUGCUGACUCUGCCCUCUGCUGACAGAAAUAUUGCUAAAAAAUAGCUUUUUGAAAAUCAACCUGUCAAAUUUAACUUUAGAUAAUACUCUCUUCUUCUGUAUACUUACAUAGUUUAGGGGCUAUUUUUUCAUUAUUUCAUUCUUUUUUUUAAUCUAAACACCAAAUAUUUACUACCUUUAUGGGAUAUAUUCUAGUUUCAAUAUUGGAAAUAAUUAGUGAACAAGACAGAUGAGAUGGUUUUUUUUAAUGGAAUGCAUAUUUGGAGGAAAGGGAGACAGACAAAAACCAACCUGACAUGAAAAUGUUACCUAAUAUUUUAUUAAACACACACACACACACACACACAACAAGGUGAGUACUGUACUAGAGAUGGAGUCAGCCCCUUUUCUAGGGAUGUGCCAUUUACACUGAAAGCAGAGAAACAAGCAAUAGGCUGCCAAGAAUCAAUCUGAGGAAGAACUAAUGCAGUGGCAGAGGCUAGUGUAGCAGGAGGUACAAAGACAGGGGCAAGCUCAUUCAGACCAAGAAUAGAAGAGAAGGCUACCAGGAAUAGAGCAUUUGAGAAAGGGGAGAAUGGUUUAGAAAAGAAUAAAAGAACUAGGUAGGGUCUAGAUGAAAAGACUGUAUUGUAGGAUUUUUGUUCCAAGUGCAAUAAAACUAUUAGAAGUUUUUAAGUCAGGAAAUAUUGUAAUAAAAUUGCCGUUUUUUUUUUUAAAGAGCAAACUGUAAAAAGUGAUUUACAUUUUCAAAAUAUAAUUCAAGCUAUUUAUGAAGAAUACAAAUAUGAAGAGAGAAUAAGAUUCACGCUUUAAAAUACAGCAUGUUAGCAGUCAGAGAAAUGCAAAUCAAAACCACCCUAAGAUACCAUCUCACUCCAGUAAGAUUGGCAGCCAUUAUGAAGUCAAACAACAACAAGUGCUGGCGAGGAUGUGGGGAAAAGGGUACACUUGUACAUUGCUGGUGGGACUGCAAAUUGGUGCAGCCAAUUUGGAAAGCAGUAUGGAGAUUUCUUGGAAAGCUGGGAAUGGAACCACCAUUUGACCCAGCUAUUCCCCUUCUCGGUCUAUUCCCUAAAGACCUAAAAAGAGCAUGCUACAGGGACACUGCUACAUCAAUGUUCAUAGCAGCACAAUUCACAAUAGCAAGACUGUGGAACCAACCUAGAUGCCCUUCAAUAGACGAAUGGAUAAAAAAAAAAUGGCAUUUAUACACAAUGGAAUAUUACUCUGCAUUAAAAAAUGACAAAAUCAUAGAAUUUGCAGGGAAAUGGAUGGCAUUAGAGCAUAUUAUGCUAAGUGAAGCUAGCCAAUCCCUAAAAAACAAAUGCCAAAUGUCUUCUUUGAUAUAAGGAGAGUAACUAAGAACAGAGUAGGGANGAAGAGCAUGAGAAGAAGAUUAACAUUAAACAGGGAUGAGAGGUGGGAGGGAAAGGGAGAGAGAAGGGAAAUUGCAUGGAAAUGGAAGGAGACCCUCAGGGUUAUACAAAAUUACAUACAAGAGGAAGUGAGGGGAAAGGGAAAAAAUAAUACAAGGGUAGAAAUGAAUGACUGUACAGGGGGUAGAGAGAGAAGAGCGGAGGGGAGGGGAGGGGGGAUAGUAGAGGAUAGGAAAGGCAGCAGAAUACAACAGACACUAGUAUGGCAAUAUGUAAAUCAAUGGAUGUGUAACUGAUGUAAUUCUGCAAUCUGUAUACGGGGUAAAAAUGGGAGUUCAUAACCCACUUGAAUCAAAGUGUGAAAUAUGAUAUAUCAAGAACUAUGUAAUGUUUUGAACAACCAACAAUAAAAAUUAAAAAAAAUAAAAAAAAUAAAAUACAGCAUGUCUUUUCUGUGAUGUAAAUAUUUUCCUUCGUAGAUUUUAAGAGAUUAGUAAUUGUAUAUCCUAUUUCUAAACAGUCUUUACCACUUAUCUUUCUCACUUUGGAAAUAAUAUUUAGUGCAAAUCUUUGUGCCUAGAAUGUUUUAUAUAGAGGAUCUUGUUAGAUGGAAAUGAAUUUGUGUUUCUUUAGUCUUUCUGUUUUAGAACCUGAGUUGAAUUCUCAAUGAAGUAGAACUCAGAGAUCACAAAAAGGUCAGAGUUUGAGGGUUUUCUUCUCCUUUUGUUUAAUUUGACUCAGAAUUCCAGAUGCCAACUCCCUCUGAGUUGAAGUCCUCCCUGUUAGAGCUGUGAUCAUUCAGACCCACAUAGAUGACUUCACUAGGUGAUAGGUCUACUCAGGACUUACAUUGGCACUUCUGUAAUUACAAGUCAAACUUCUAGAAAUGGAAGCAGGGAAUUUUCUCUUCUCCCCCUCCCCCUCUUCCUUUCUCUCCUCUUCCUCCUCUUCUUCCUCUCCCUCCUCCUCCUCCUCCUCCAUUAUUACUUACCUCCUGUAAAACUUGAGAUAGUUCAGAUCUGUCUUUGAGAAAUUUGAUAAUUGUGUUUCUGUAUACUCUAUUUUAGAGGAAAUAUAAAUGAAAUGAAUGAAUAAAAAACAUCCUUGCAAAAGAAGGACCAAGAAACCCCAAAGAAAAAGUGUAAAAUGGUCAUUUCUCAUUACUGAUAUGUAAUUUUUGCUUUUCAGAAGAAAGAUACAUGUGACAUGUUGGGGGAGUCACAUAUUGCCGAAGUAAAAUUAAAUUAGUUUCAUAUGCACCUUGAUGAUGUUAAAAAUUGUUCUUUAGUAGCUUCAGGUGUCUCAAACUCUGUUUCAGGCAUUUUUUAGGAGAAUUUUUCAUCAUUAAAAUUUUGACAAGCAGGAGGUUAUAAAAACAACCACAUAAAGAUAACAGUUGUAUAUACUGUGAUUUGGAGCACAGUAGGACUUGGGGGAGGAUAGGAAAGGGUGGGACUUGUGAACAACUCUAGCUGUGAAAAGUGAGGUUUAACUGAGCCUUGUGACCAUGUUUCUGAGGACAAAGGGUAAGUUGUCUAGACCUGAUGACCAGGUCCUGCAUGGUUUUUCCUGUCCAGAACCACCUCCUCCUACUUGCUGGUUGCUGACUUAGAUGGAAGAAGAGGAGAAGCUAAACCUUUCUUUCUCUUUUGUUCCCUACAGACCAAAGGACUACCACUUCAGCUUGGCGCCCAGUGGCCCUCACACUACUGACUUUGUGCUUGGUGCUGCUCCUAGGCCUGGCAGCCCUGGGCUUUGUGUGUAAGUCUGGGCUCUGCCUUGGGGGAGGAUCCUGGUUCCAUGAUCUCUCUAGGUGAAACACGGAACACUUGUUAUGAAUUUUUAAACUUUUAAUUCUGGAUCUUAGGGGGCAAUUCAAUGCUCCUUUUCUAAUAGCAACCAUUUAAAGAUCAGUGGGGGAAGAAGUAUUAAAAUAGAACUAUCAUUUGCUAACUAGAAUUAAACAUUCUGUUUCAGUUCAGGAUUUUGUAUGCUUAUAUGUCAAUAUUUAAAACAAUAACUUCAUCUCUCUCCUGUUCCACAAGAGUGGGUUGGCAGUGGCUUUUGCUUUCAGUGUGUAUGUCUCAGUGGGCUAGAGCAAAGGAAAGAGAUUUUAUUUAUAUUUAUAUUCUCAAUACAAGGAAAAUAGUUAAGGCCCUUAAUCACUAUAUUUUCUAUUAAGAAGACAUUUUGCAAAAACUUGUGAAAAAUCAAACACAGAAGAAUGCAUGUGUGAAAAUCUUUACAUUUAAAUGAACAAGGACAAGUUCCUUAAAAAAUAAAGUGGAUAAAUUUGCCUCAUCAAGUUAAGAUCCUGCAGUCAUGUUCCCUGAACAGCUGAAGGUGAUUCAAAGCAAAAGGUCAUGAAAACAAGCAGAUGUGUCAAAAAGUUGAUUUUUAUAGUAAAAUUUAAAAAAUUUGUUUAUGAUCUUAAAUGUUUUUUAUUUAUAUAUGACAGCGAAUGCAUUACAAUUCUUAUUACACAUAUACAACACAACUUUUCAUAUCUCUGGCUGUAUAAACAGUAUAUUCACACCAAUUCAUGUCUUCAUACCUGUACUUGGGAUAAUAAUGAUCAUCACUUUCCACCAUCAUUAAUAACCCUAUGACCCCUCCUUCCCCUCCAGCCCCUCUGCCCUAUCUAGAGUUUGUCUAUUCCUCCCAUGCUCCCCCGCUCCCUAUCCCACUAUGAAUCAGCCUCCUUAUAUCAAAGAAAACAUUCAUCAUUUGGUUUUUUGGGAUUGGCUAACUUCACUUAGCAUUAUAUUCUCUAACUACAUCUAUUUACCUAAAAUGCCAUGAUUUUAUUCUCUUUUAUUGCUCAAUAAUAUUCCAUUGUGUAUAUAUGCCACAUUUUUUUCAUCCAUUCAACUAUUGAAGAGUAUCUAGGUUGGUUCCAUAGUUUAGCUAUUGUGAAUUGUGCUGCUUUAAACAUUGAUGUGGCUGUGUCCCUGUAGUAUGCUGUUUUUAAGUCCUUUGGGUAGAGACCGAGAAGAGGAAUAGCUGGGUCAAAUGGUGGUUCUAUUCCCAAUUUUCCAAGAAAUCUCCAUACUGCUUUCCAUAUUGGCUGCACCAAUUUACAGUCCCACCAGCAAUAAGUGUACCUUUUUCCCCACAUCCUCGCCAACACUUAUUGUUGUUUGUAUGCAUAAUAGCUGCCAUUCUGACUAGAGUGAGAUGAAAUCCUGGAAUGGUUUUAAUUUGCAUUUCUCUAAUUGCUAGUGAUGAUGAACAUUUUUUCAUGUAUUUGUUGAUUGAUUGUACAUCAUCUUCUGAGAACUGUCUUUUCAGAACCUUGGCCCAUAUUGAUUGGGUUAUUUGUGUUUUUUUGGUGUUUAGCUUUUUGAGUUCUUUAUAUACCCUAGAGAUAGCACUCUAUCUGAUGUGUGAGGGGUAAAGAUUUGCUCCCAAGAUGCAGGCUCUGUAUUCACCUCACAGACUGUUUCUUUUGCUGGUAAGAAACUUUUUAGUUUGAGUCCAUCCCAUUUAUUGAUUCUUGAUUUUAAUUCUUGCACCACAGGAGUCUUACUAAGGAAGCUGGGGCCUAAAAGUUCCACCAGAAAAUUUCUAGAACUAGUAAAUGAACUCAGCAAAGUAGCAGGUAUAAAAUCAACACCUAUAAAUCAAAGGCAUUUUUGUAUAUCAAUGACAAAUCCUCAGAAGGGAAAUGAGGAAAACUACCCCAUUUUCAAUAGUCUCAAAAAAAAAACAACACUUGGGAGUCAACUUAAUGAAAGAGAUGAAAGAUCUUUAUAAUGAAAAUUACAGAACCCUAAAGAAAGAAAUCAAAGAAGACCUUAGAAGAUGGAAAGAUCUACCUUGCUCUUGGAUAGGCAGAAUUAAUAUUAUCAAAAUGACCAUACUACCAAAAGCACUAUACAGAUUUAAUGCAAUUCCAAUCAAAAUACCAAUGGCAUUCCUUAUAGAAAUAGGAAAAGCAAUCAUGAAAUUCAUCUGGAAAAAUAAGAGACCCAGAAUAGCUAAAGCAAUCCUUAGCAGGAAGAAUGAAGCAGGUGGCAUCACUAUACCAGAUCUUAAACUAUACUACAGAGCAAUGGUAACAAAAACAGCAUGGUAUUGGCACCACAGCAGACUGGUAGACCAAUGGUACAGAACAGAGGACACAGAGACUAACCCACAAAACUACUGGUAUCUUAUAUUAGACAAAGGUGUGAAGAACAUGCAUUGGAGAAAGAUAGCCUAUUCAACAAAUGAUGCUGGGAAAACUGGAAAUCCACAUGCAACAAAAUAAAAUUAAACCCCUAUCUCUCACCAUGCACAAAACUCAACUCAAAAUGGAUCAAGGACUUGGAAUACAACAGAGACCCUGUUUCUAUAGAAGAGAAAGUAGGCCCUAAUCUCCAUCAUGUGGGAUUAGGCCCCAGCUUCCCUAAUAAGACUCCUGUGGUGCAAGAAUUAAAAUCAAGAAUCGAUAAAUGGGAUGGACUCAAACUAAAAAGUUUCUUAUCAGCAAAAGAAACAAUCUUUGAGGUGAAUACAGAGCCUGCAUCUCGGGAGCAAAUAUUUACCUCUCACACAUCUGAUAGAGCACUAAUCUCUAGGGUAUAUAAAGAACUCAAAAAGCUAAACACCAAAAAGACAAAUAACCCAAUCAAUAAAUGGGCCAGGGUUCUGAAGAGACACUUCUCAGAAGAUGAUGUACAAUCAAUCCGCACAUAUGUGAUCUUAAAUUUAAAAGUAAAAAAAAAAAUUCUUGUUUCUCCCUAAAUCCAAAAUUUGUAUGAUAUAACUUUUAGUUUGCAAUCACCAUCACUCUUAGGAAUAUAAAGCAACUCUCAUGAUUCAUAAGGGAUUUCUCUAUUUAGAUUUAGAAAACCAAAGUUCAAACCUGCAUUAAAAUUUUAUAGUUAAAUUUUAUUAGGGAAGUUUGUUGAUCCCAUUGAUAAUAAUCAUAAAUCAAUAAAAAUAUGGAAAUGAUAAUUGACCAUUUUAAUAAUCAGACAAACAAAAAUAUAUGGAAUAUUGCCACUAUUUAAUGUAAUGAUCUAUAGGUAAAUGAAUCGUGGUUUUAGAUUGAGUAAUCAUUUGCAUGAACAGAAACAUAUCUAUUCAGUAGUAAAAUAGUUUGAGAAUUUACUUCUGAAGCUAGAAACUGUUAUCAUGACUCCACAUUUUCAGAAAGACUUAGAGAAAUUAAUUUGUGCAGUAUGAUACAAUUUGUUAUGUAUGUACUAGAGUCUCUACUUGGAUAUAUGCAAUGUGAGAUCUCAGAACCUAAGAUCUUAACUUAUAUACAUGUUGCCUUCAUCUUAAGUGGAAAUUAGAAGUAAAAUGAAGAAAUGAACUGUCCAGUCUGACCUAGCCACUUGGGUUAGUUUUUCAGUUCUAUCAGCUAUCCAGUACUCAGCAAGACAGCAUUUCUGAAAAGGAAGAAAGGUUGGCAAAUCUCUCUCAACAUCUGCAGUCUGUCCAAGCCCAGAAUAGGAAGCUUGCAGAAACCCUGCAGCAUGUGGCUGAAAAACUCUGUCGUGAGCUUUAUAACAAAAGUGGAGGUAAGCAGGUCUUUAUCACUCUGCCCCCAGGAUAUUAUCUGUCAAUCUAAGUUGAAUUUCUUAUUAACAUAACUGGGAACCAGUAUUAUUUAAUUAGUUUUCUGGAAAACUUGAUAAGGAGUUUGGAUUGCAAGACCAUGAUAAGUUUAGGGGGUCAUGCAGUCCAUACAUGUUUGUGUUACUGUGUAUGAAAGAAUUCUUUAAAUGCAACACUUAAAACAAUAACAAAGCAAUUAGUUUGGAAUAGCUAACGUAACAUUACAAGUAAAUAAAAUGGAAAUGUUUCAAUUUACCUUGUCCCAUAAUUGAAAAAUCAUCCCUAUUAUAAGUCAAUAAACUCAUAAUUUAAGAAUCAUAGAAGGAUCAGAUAAAGAAGGCAGAUAACCUAAAUCAAAUCUGUUAUUUUAAUUCCAUAUGAUUUGACUGAUACCGAAAAAAAUGUACAUUUUAAGAAGUACCCUAGGAGACAUCAAUGUCAAUGAUAGGUGUACCACAGUUGUAUAAAUAAAAAUAGUGUUGGAGAAGUCAGUGAGGGUGUGUGUGUGUGUGAGAGAGAGAGAGAGAGAUGGGGGGGAGAGGGAGAGAGAGUGAGAGAGGGAGACUAUUUCCUGUCCUAUUUGUAUUUCAUUAUCCAUUUUAUUCAAGUCAGUCCUCUCUUCUGGCUCUCUUUUUGUUUGAAUUUUUAAAUUUAAUUUUUAUUCUAAUUUGUUAUAUAUGACAGCAGAAUGCAUUACAAUUUGUAUUAUACAUGUAGAGCACAAUUUUUCAUAUCUCUGGUUUUAUACAAAGUAUAUUCACACCAUUUGUGUCUUCAUACAGGUACUUAGGGUAAUGAUGUCCAUUUCAUUCCACCAUCUUUUCUAUCCCCAUGCCCCCUUCCUUCCUGUCCCACCCCUUUGCCCUAGCUAGAGUUUGUCUAAUCCUCCCAUAUUCCCCCUCCCAAACCCACUAUGAAUCACCUUCCUUAUAUCAGAGAAAACAUUCAGCAAUUGGUUUUUUGGAAUUGGCUAACUUCAAUUGACAUUAUAUUCUUUAACUCCAUCCAUUUAUCUGCAAGUCCCAUGAUUUUAUUCUCUUUUAUUGAUGAGUAAUAUUCCAUUGUGUAUAUAUAACACAUUUUUUAAUCCAUUUAUCUACUUCAGGGCAUCUAGGUUGGUUCCACAAUUUAGCUAUUGUGAAUUGUGUUGCUGUAAACAUUGAUGUGGCUGUGUCCCUGUAGUAUGCCCUGACUUCCUUAAUAAGACUCCUAUAGUGCAAGAAUUAAAAUCAAGAAUCAAUAAAUGGGAUGGAUUCAAACUAAAAAAGCUUCUUCUCAGCAAAAGAAACAAUCAGUGAGGUAAAGAUAGAGCCUACAGAAUGGAAGCAAAUUUUUACCACAAGUACAUCAGAUAGAGCACUAAUCUCUAGGGUACAUAAAGAACUCAAAAAUCGAAACACCAAAAGAACAAAUAACCUAGGAUGUGGGGGAAAAGGCACACUCAUACACUGCUGGUGGAACUGCAAACUGGUGCAGCCAAUAUAGAAAGCAGUAUGGAGAUUCCUUGGAAAACUGGGAAUGGAAUUACCAUUUGACUCAGCUACCCACUCCUCGGUCUAUAUCUUCUGCUCUCUUUAACAUAUAUACCUAAGAAGAAAUAUGUAUUAUCAAUUCUUCAGUUUUUAUUUAUCUUUUGGGAACUCUAAAACAGGACAAAAUCUCAGACUUCCAGACAUACACUACUUCACACCCUAAGCAGACAUCUUGAUUAUAUAAUCACCCAAUAAUAUGAAUAGGCAUAAACAAAUACUAUGAAUAGGCAUACUUCCACUUCUCUAAAUGAUUUUUAUUCACAUGAAUACUGAUUUCACUGGUCAUGUUAUUCUUUCUUAUUUUUCUAACAGCCCAGUGGGCAUACUUCUCUUUGUUCGGUGCCCUAUCUCAGCAAAAAGAGAAUCCAGGUUUCUCUAUAAUUUUUAUCUAGCUAUAUUAAAAAAAAAAUAAAAAGAAAAGCUAGGCAAAUAAACCACAUUUAGUUUAAAUAUAAAAUUGACAUCCCAAAGUUAGGAACUAGGAAAAAUGCUGUCUUGAGAGUUGAAUAUAUGAAAAAUAAAGUUUGGGUCUGAACCACCUAUAUAAACUUGCAUUCCUGGGUCCAAGUCCUAGGAAAAAUAAAGGAGAAACAGAAAUAAAAAGGACUAUAAGGAAAAAAAUUGAUAAGACUAUGUUUGAUGAUAUAUUUUUAGGUUUUUAUAAAACUGAAUGUCCUUCCUAAGAAUAUUAGCCUUGGUAAUAUUUACAUUCUUGCUUCACUGAUCAUGAACAAUGUUAAAUUUUUAUCACUUUAUUUCACACACACACACAUAAUUUAUAGAUGAGGAGAGUUCACAGAAAUCACACAUGUUCAUCUUAGGAAUCCAAUGGUGUUUGUAAUUUCCCUAGUCAUACAGCCAUGAAUAAAAUAGUUGAAAACAAUCCAUGUUCAGUACAGACAUUAAUUUCUCUCUCAAAAUGUGCAUUUCUCCUUAAAUAUAUUUUCUUUCUUUCUAUCUAUCUAUCUACCUAUCUAGUGUGUGUGUAUAUAUACAUAUACACACCAUAUACAUGGCGUGCAUGUGUGUGUUUGUAUGUAUACAUGCGCGUUAUGUAUGUGCAAGUCCAGGGAAAAUUAAUUACUUCUGACUCGUUCUAUUUUUCUAAUUUUUUAAUGUAAUAUUAAAUAAAAUAUUAAAGUAGGUAAAGUUAUAUUGGUAAAGAGGUAUCUAUUGCUAUCACUUCAGCUGCCUAGUAUUUUUAUUCACAUAAGGCACUAUAUUUGAGUCUUUCUCCUUUCCAUCUAAUUGUAUCUUGCUUUUUUCCUAUACACUCAUUGAAAUUACACUUUCUAUCAAUUCUCAUAGAAAUAUGGAACUUUACUUGUACAGAGAAAAUCACUCACCAUAUGUGAAGAUUAAAGGUAUGCAAGAAAUCUUAUAACUGGAAAGGGGAGUAAGAUAUUAAUAUACUGUAUCAACUGUAUAUCAACUGUAUCAGUUACAGUUUAUAUCUACUGAAGCUAGAGCAGACAUUACAAUGAGCCAAUAUUCUCCUUCGUGUGGAGCUCAGAUGCAGCUUCCUAAUCUUUUCCUACAGAGUGCUCCAAGCAGGCAUUACCAAUCUAAAUUGUCACAGUGACAGUCAUGAUUAGACUUGAAGCUAACAUCCAUUCAGCCUGUUGCAUGUAUAAGCUACUGUGCUAAGGAAACUAUAUUUUCCUAUUUACACUUUACCACAUUCCUUUUAGGGCCUGUGACUCUCAGGGCCUAACUCUUAAAUGUACCGUCAGUACCUACUGUUCCAUCUAAGAACAUUCAACUUGUGUACUUACUUCUUUGGCAUGGAUGCCAAUCUUAAUUUUUGAUACAUGGAAAUUUACCUUUCUAACUUCAAGGCUUGUCUCAGCAUUUUUUCCCCUAAAAUUUUAUUUGUGUUUACAGUAAGAGCCCAUCUCACAUUGGUAUACAUUGUAUUUUUUAAAAACCCCUUUGUCAUAAGAAUAUGAUUUUGAGAAAGAAAAUUAUGAUCCUUUGUUUAUUGAAUAUAAUGCAUUGUGCAUUUCUGAACAUAUGAGCAGCUUCAUGAAUUGAUUUUACUCUCCAUGUGCUACUUUGCAUAGCCAAGACACAAGGAAGUUUCCAUCUAGACAAGGAAGUUUUCAUUACUAGAUUCUACACUCCAUUAAGAGUGCCUAUUUUAAUUUCCACUGUAUAAUCAGCACCAAUUAUAAUUCCUGGCAUAUUGUGGCCACUCAAUACAGAUUUGUAUUUAUCAUUGCCUGGGAAAUUUAAAUAUAUGAGAGAAGGGAAAUCAAUUCUUAUUUGGGACAUAAACACUCUAUAAUUUCAUGAGAAGAAAUAUAGCAAACAUGAGUAGAAAACUUACAAAUAUUUUUCUUCUCUCAAGGACACAAGUGCAACCCAUGCCCAGAAAAAUGGAGGUGGCAUGGGGACCAAUGCUACCAAUUCUAUAAAGAGAGUAAAAGUUGGCAGGGCUGUGAAUAUUUCUGCACUGGUGAGAAUGCCACCAUGCUGAAGAUAAACACACAAGAAGUGCUGGUAAGGCCCUGGAUCUUUUCAAUGUUUGAAGAAUUCUUAAGAAGAGGCCUUGAAAGAGCUGGCCAAGAAAAUUCAGAGGAGUGAAUGAUAUUGACUCACAAAUGUUCCCACUUAUUCUGAUCAAGGACUCUGUCUUAUUCCUAUUGCUUUGCAUGAUUCCCUCAACUACAUAAAAAGGAGCUCCAUUCUUCAUAAAUGCUUACUCCACAGAAACCACCCCUCAGCCAGGGAAUAGAUGGAGAAUGCCUUAAUUUUUUUUAACCUCUUUUAGUUUGGGUAAGAAGAGAAGAGUGUUUACACAAUAUCAGAAAGAUGAAAAUACCACUGACUGUACUUGAUUUAUGAGUGGCAAAUAUUUAAUUAAAUCAUUACUAUGAUCCACAAAUGUAUAUCUUGCUUUCCAGAACAUUGGUCAACACAAAUAUGAAAAUCACCCUACAAAUUGACACAUUUUGAAUAAGUGCACUUUUAAAAUGAUGUAAUUAUUCCCCUCCCCCACUUCUUUCCACAUUCAUUAUUGCUUUUGGAUUGAAUUCGUUCAUCAAUGUGAUCAUGUGAUAACUUGUUUAUCUUUCUCUAUAAUUGAGCAGUGGUCUUGAUGCAGAGCAGAUUGUCAACAUAUGGCUUUUUAAUUAAAUGUCCAGCUUUAUAUACAAAGUUUUAACAUCCUUCCAGUCACAUAUUAAUUUCUGUCCACUUCCUGAAAUCUGUAUGAAUGAACCUUUGUAAUACCUUUAUUUAAUAUCUUUUACCCUCUAUGGCUCCAUUUAUGCAUAGAGGAAGGCAAUUUCUUUCUUUCUGUGUUUUUUUUUUUGGGGGGGGUGGGUGGUAACUAGGAAUUGAAUGUACCCAGAGGCACUUAACCCCUAAGCCACACCCCCAGCCCUUUUUAUUUUUUUGAGACAGGGUAUCCCUAAGUUGCCUAGGGCCUCACUAAAUUGCUGAGACUUUGAACUUGUGAUCCUCCUGCCUCAGCCUCCUGAACCACUCGCUGGGAUUAUAGGUGUGUGCCUCUGCAUCCGGCCCAAUUUCUUUUACUAACAUAAUAUGUCCUGGCAAAAACAUUUUCUUAUUAAAUUUGUUUGCUUUACCUCCAGCCCAUACUGAAGACUCAGUUAUAUAAUUAAACUGUACUAUAUGGAAUGUUAGGAAAUUUUGCUAUGAAAGUUACAAAGUUAUUUUCUUUUAUGCACUUUAUAAAUUUGUAUAUGUUUAAAUCGCUUACACAUGAUUUAUUUUCAGAAGUUUUAAUUUAAAGUGAUACCAUUUAAUUUGGAGAAAAUAUGUUCAAAUACAGUUCUUUUCACCUGACUACUGUGUGACCAUCACUUUGCAAUAGUUUCCCUGAUAUUUCCUAUGAUCUCUUGUUGAAUCAGCAUGUACCACUAAUUAUCUGAGGCAUUGAGAGUAGAACAAUUGCUAAAACUAAGUAUUUAUCCCUAAAGAGUUUAUAAUAUGUUGGAAAGGAAAGACAUAAAUGGAUGAUCAUAAUAAUUAUACUAUAUAUAAUAAUAAUAAUUAUAUAUAAUUCCCAUGUUAAAUAUAUAUGAAUAUAGAGUGAGAGUAGAUGAAAGAAAGUAAAUAACUUUUUGAAAUUUCAAUAUACAUAUUAGAAAUAUGGACAUACACAUGACUCUGUGUGUGUAUGUAAAAUUUAAAAUUUCUUUGUCCCCUAUAGUUUGAAACAUAGGUCAUCCUUCCAAGUCCAUUUUUCACUUCUUUGUGCAUUGAAGUAUAUUCACAUUUAUUUUCUCAUACCCAGUUAUUUUUUUCCCAGAUGUUUAUAAAGGUUUCUUUUCCAUUCCUGAACUUUUCCUUUUAAAAUUUUCCAUUUCCCAUAGUCAUUCCAUAUCUCUUUGUAAAUCUUCUUCCCACUAUGUUAUAUCACUCUUGAUGUUUCAUUUUGUGUCUUAAAAACAAUGGAUUAUGUAUAAAUUUUGACUGAUAAAAUGCUUGGUUUCAAAAUAUCAAUAUAUAAAAUUGCAAACUUCAACUAAAGCAAAACAAGUUCUUUAACCUGGAUGAAUUUCUAAUGGAUCUCAUGACAGAUACUUUUAUCUCCUAAUCACACCCUCAUCUAUGUGAGGUAGGAAUUCUUUGUUGAUCUCCCAUGAACAGUGUUGGCUGCCCCCACACUUAUUUGAAAAUAAAUUACAACUUCUUUAAAGCUAAAGAUUUUCUUGUAUGUCUUUCACAGGAGUUUGCCAUGCCUCAAAGCUACUCUGAGUUUUUCUACUCUUAUUGGAUAGGGCUCUCCCGCAACAGCAGUGGCAAAGCCUGGCUGUGGAUGGAUGGAGCACCUUACUCCUUUGAACUGUAAGAUUUCAGAACAUAUUACAGGGAAGGCAUCUAACAGAAAGAGUGAUGGAGUUAGCAGUUUGGUUCAACAAACAUCAAUCAAACAUUUGUUUUCUACUGGAUGCUGUGUUCACAAGAUGUCCAAAGAUGUGUAGAAUAUAAUUGCUUGCUUUUGAAUGGCUUAUAAAACAGGGAGACACAUCUAUAGUGCUAGUAAAAUAUCAGGGGACAGUUCCUGGGCUGUUUUCAACACUGGGUAUCUAGGAGUAACUGUGAAUUAGAUAAUUAGAAUGUGAGAGAAAGAAAUAGAAAAUCUUUUAUGUGUGUGUAUGCUGAAGUCCAGGAGUCCAGGUUGUAAAAGUGGGUGUGUAAGGCCACAACUUGUCAUACCUAGAAAAAAGGACAAAACCUAAGAUUUCUUUUCUUUUUCCUCUCUCUCGCUCUCUCUCUCUCUCUCUCUCUCUCUCUCUCUCUCUCUCGUCUUAGUAUAGUGAAAUAGGGAGCACAUCUUUAAAAAAAUAUGCUCACUUAGAGUAGACUUGCUGACAAUAUAAACAGACCAUUAUAAACACCAGCUUUAUUUAUAAUGAGAAACAUUUAGAAAGAAGAAUGCAUGAAAGUAUUUGAAUAGGAAAAUGCAACCCUUAUACCAAAAUAUAUUACACUUAAAGCUAUAUCUGCUUUUCUUCCCUAAAGCUUCUCUAAAGCAUUUAUUCUCUCAGGAGACAGAAUUGAUUAAUAUGAUCAUUUGUAUUUUACAGUUAAGCAAAUGUAUUAAAGAGACAGUAAAUAAGUUUUUAAGUAGCAAUAGAAUCAUAUGAUAAAUUCAAAUUAGAAACAGUUUUUGUUGUUCUGGGUUUCCUGCUGCAUUGAAGAACAAUAAUCAAAUUGAUGGUCUGAAAAUAAAGAAAUAGGUGACCCCAUCUUCUCAGUGAACUCAUUCUGGGUGUAUAUUCUAUAAUUUUAUCACCAGAGGAAGACUUUUAGGGACUUUAUGGAUACUUAAUAUCUUACUUGAAAAAUAAACUGAUUAACUGUUUCUUUCUUUUUUUAAGGUUUGAGAUCAUAAUAGAUGUUAGCAGCCUAAGAAGUAGGGACUGUGUGACCAUCCUCAAUGGAAAGGCUUUCUCAAAGGACUGUAGAGAGCUGAGACGAUGUGCAUGUCAGAGGAUGGCAGCAAGAGUGGAGCCCGAAAAUCUUCACUAGCCCACUUGAACCAGCAGAUGAAGGGGACUGACCGUUCUGCUUCAGCUACCAACAAAAGAACUGAGCCAAGGGAGGCCAAUGCAAGGCAUAUUUGAGACACUGGGAAAUGGAAAAUAAUCAGGAAAGGCAAAAUCUUCAACUGGUACUAUCAGGAUUCCCAUUUUUCUUGUUUGGGAUCACUAGCAUUUCUGAAUUUGGGGGUCAUGCACAUAUUUACCAGUCACAAGAAGUCUUCAUCUGUAAACCACCAACCAGUCCCAGAAACCCUUACAGUUUUUAUCCACUUUCUUGACUUAGAAAUAACCUUCUGGUUUUCUUCCUUCUCAACAUCCAACAUCAUCUCCCUAUUUCUAUGUCUUCCUCAUAUGUACAGAAGGGACACACUCACUAAAAGAGAGGAAUUAAAUGGAAGUCACAUCCUUUGCUCCAGAGGCAGGUGGUCCAGGGGAAAUUAACAGACCUUCCCAUUCUGUGCUUCUAAGUGCAUGACUAAUUCUUUUUGUUCCUCUUCAGUUUACACUUUUCCUUUCCCAGUCUGUCAAUCAAGACUGCAUCUGAAACAGCUGAAACAACUCCUUUUAUGAGAAUCUUAACUUCUUAUAAACAUACCUCUGCAUACCCAUUAAUACUCCAAUAGUUGUUUCUUUUUUCCUAAGAAUUUCUCAAAUCCCCUUUACAUAGAAUCACUGCCCUUGAUACCCGCUUCAGAGAGAUUGAAGAUCAGUAAGAAAAAGAAAAAGAAAAAGAAAAAGAAAACAACCUCUCUUAUGUGCACCAGAAAUAAUUUGGUAUCAGUUCUUAUUUUCUCCCAUUUGAUCCAUUUUUAUACCAUUCAGGUACUGAAGAGUUAAUAAUAAUAAAUAUAAAUAAUGUAAAGUGUGUGUGAUUUUAGAAUGGAUUUGUGAUUUGGGGAAAAAUUAAGCAUGAAAAUUCUUUUCAGAGUAUGAUAAUAAUCAUUGUUUUGAUUGUGCCUUACUGAGAGUUUAUGAGGACUCUGCGAAUUGCUUAUGUGAUUAUUUAUGGAAAAAUCCAAGCCUUUGAAAUACAUAUUAUCUUCAAGGAGAAGGUUUUAAUAUUUUCCUAAAAUGAGAUAUUGAAGCAAAAUUAUGACAUCAACACGACUGGUGAGUAAACUGCUUUGCAAUAGACCACAUGAUUUCCAGUCAGGUCAUGGAAAGUGAAAGAGACUGACAAACUACAGAGCUGAAUUUUAGACUGGAUAAGGUCUUUCUCAAGGUGGCUGUUAUGCACAACCAUAACAGGGAUCUCUGUGAAUAAAACUGUCAUGACUACUGACUUUAUUGGUUAUAGAUUCAUCAGUUUUAGGGGUUUAAUAUUAGAAAGGAUCAUCCACGAAAGAUUAUAAAUCUUCAUUUUUCAACAGUGAAAACCAGGGUGCUUUGCUUUUAUCUUCAGUAAACAUGUAUUUCAUGGGGAAAUUACAUUCAGUUAGCAAUCAUGUGAUGAAAAAAACUCUUGCAGUGUUCCUUUUUGUAAGACUGUAUUUGGUAAGAUUGUUACUUUAUCUGUACUACUUGCAGAUUCUUCCUUGAGGACUCUUCUUUUAAUUUUCUUCUGGUUAGCUAGCUAGGAAAUGUCUUCAGUGCUGCACAAAUUUUGUGUUGAUAUCCUGUGUCAUACAGAGAGAACUGCAUUUGUGGUUAGAAAAUGAGAGUUUUAGACUUAUUAUUCUGAAUUAUCUUAUGGGCCAAUCAUUUUACUUCACGGAGCUGAUUUCAUUAAGUUUAAAGCAGAAAUAUUUAUAAGUUCCUCAUGAUGCUACUGUUUGUCAAAAUAAGGUAACUGCGAAAUUAAUUUCACAACCUAAAUUGUAAUAUAAAAUGGAAAGAAAAUUUAUAAAAUAUUUAAAAAGAUUUAGUGAUUCAUUUUAAGCAUAAGAGAGCACAAACAUGCAUAAACAACUUUAUUUGGUGAACUAAAUUCAUAAACAAAAAGUAGAGAUAACUACUUUGAGGAUAUUAUCAAAUAUUUUAUAUGAUAAGUGCAAUGUUCAAUGAAAGUGGCUAAUAUAAUAUGUAUAUAAGAAGAAAUGAGGGGCUAAGGUUGUAGCUCAGUGGUAGAGCAUUUCCCUAGCAUGUGUGAGGCCCUGAGUUCAAUCCUCAGCACCACAUAAAGAUAUAGAAAUAAAAUACAGGUAUUGUGUCCAUCUACAACUACCAAAAAAAAUUAAAAAAAGAAAUGAGAAUUAGGUGUGUUGUUAAGCAACCAUUAUUUAAACCUUACAGCUGCAAAGAAAAUCCAGUUAAAAUGAAAAAGUCAAAUAAAUUUAUGGACUAAAUUAUAAAGUAGGGAUAUAAUACUCAUUUAAGUAUUGACUCCUGGCAUUCUGUGCUCAGGGAGGAAUGAUAAUGUCUCUUUAACUGCCAUUCUUUUGAAGAGUCUAGCUGCCUGAAGAGUGAAAGGUGACCAGUGUCUUCACUACCAAUAUUGGACCUAAAGGAGAGGUCUUUGUAGAUAGUGAGGAGGAAAAAGAGAAUUCUUUAGACAUGCUUUCUUUCCCUGAACUAUUCUUCUUCAUCUUUGCCCUCAAUCCCCUGGUCUAACAAAAAACACAAUAUUGAUUGCAUUAUGAAUGAAUAUUUCAGAACAAAAACAUUUUGGCACAAUGUUUUCUCCACACACUUAAAUUUUUUUUUAAGAGUAGCACAUAAUCACAAGAUGAAUUUGAAAAUAUGAUUUGCAGAGAACAACUUUCAGUUGAUAGUCAGAUUGGGACCUCAUCUUAAUUGGUUUUUCAGCAUAAGAUGUUUUUCCUUCUAGGUUGUGAGUAUGUAAUUCUGAAGAAAUUGCAGGAAAAGUCAAACAAGAACACAGCCUUUCCUGGUAGAGCUGAGUUCCCCAGGGUACACAAUGAGCUAUUCCUUUUCCUGAGGAUAUUGAACCAGUACUUAGAACUUAUCAACAGGAAACAGGUCAGGAGCCCUGGAAUAGCAGGAAGUUCAAGAAGGAUGAUGGGCAGAUUUUAUUUGGGGGAUCCAAGAAGACUGUGAACCAAGCACAAGGGUUUAGCAGGUUGUCUCAGGAGCAGUCUUAAAAUUCGGGAGUUACUUUCUCUGUAGAGAGAUUCUUGUGGUUUCCAAAAGGUGCAAAAAGCAGAAAAAUCUUACUUAAAUGGUAUAUGACUUUUGUACAAGGCUCGUUUUAUUAAGAGAUUUUUUCAGACUCUAGGCGCACCUAUUUAUUAUUCUACUAAUUAUUUCAAUGUGUUUUUAAAAAUAUAUUUAGUACACUUUAUUAAUACCUCGUGACAAAGCCUGUUCACAUUUGUAGGACAGAUAUUUUUUCUUUUCCUUUAAAAAAAAAAAAAACUCCAUGAGAUGAAUCAGUGACCCAAUUCAUCACUGGUGAACUAGGAUAUAAAACUGGUUAUCUCCAUGCUAACAUCUUUAAAAAGCCUUGGUAUCCUGGGCAAAAAGCAACCUGCAGGGAAAACUUUUCCACAUAGCCAUCUGUGUGGAAGCAGAGUUGCUACUGAGGAGACUUUUAGGAGUGUACGUCAACUGCAGUGUAGAUAAAAUUCUAACUUGUAAAUACAGCAUCAUAUACUAGCUGGAUAACAUCAGCUGGAGGAUGUUUGCCUUUUGUUUCACUGUGCUUUUUCUAAGGAGAAUUGUAAAUGCUUCCUAUCCUUUCUCUAAACAUAGCUCUGUGACAAUACUUUGAAGAUUCUUUAAGACAAACAGUCUUUACCACUGAAAAUCGCUAUUGUUUCUCCUUUAUUCCAGGUUAUUAUAUUUAGCGGCCAGCUGCCAGUUGUGAUAACCAAACACAGGAGAAAACUUAUAUGGUUUUGGGGCAUCAGCAGAAAACUAGAGAAAAUUCCUUUUGUUGAUACUUCUACCAUUAAGCUCCAGGUCAAAGGUAAAUAAAACAAACAAAAAACAAAACCAAAAAAUGAGGACAUGUUCUUCCCAUUCUUCCAAGGCUUUCCCCAUUGUAAAAAGACCUUUAAGUAUCAGAAAUUUUAUUUUUAUUUAAAUGAUUUCGACUGCCUCAGUGAAUUAGGGUUUAUUUUUACUUUAUUUAAAUAAUGCCUUUAUUUUAAGGAGAAAAUAUGAAAAUUAAAUGUAUCUUGGCUACUUCUUAUGAAAAAAUGAAGGAUUAGAAAUUAUAUUGAAUUUAGCAAAUAUUUAGUGAAAACCUCCUAUGUGCCAAGGUGCUAUUCUAGGGAUGGUGAGUGGGAGAAAGAUAAUAUACAAAUAAUUAAUAUUUCCUUCCUGAAGAUGAUGAGGUAUUUACAUAUCAACAGUCUCUUGAAAAUAAGACGGCUGUUUCAGGGAGCCCACGUGCCUAGCACAGGGGUUCAGAUUGAAUAUAGAGGAGAAUUUUAUUUGAAGAGGAUUAAUUGACUUUAAAACAGAUAUUCUUUCCAAGUAGUUACUGACAAUUUACAGACAAAUUUUAUUUUCUCAAUGGCCCUGCAACAUUAGCAGGAAAAUAGACUGUUUUGCCCAGCAUGCACAUAGAGGUUGAUAUCUAGAAGUGGCUGGUGGCUUACUCCAGAUAACAGUAGCAAGCACUGAUACAGUAUCCAACUCUAUAGGACAUCAUUCGCAACAAUUUACAUAUAUUUUUGAUUUAGUCUUCCAACAAUUUUAAAAGUAAAUCCAAUUAUUAUUUUUUGAUGGAGAAUUUGGGGCAUUGAGAAAUACAGUUAAAAGUACUGGUAUGUUAAUCUGGGGGGUUCAGACAUGAGCCCUUCGAUUUGUGAGUGGUGAGAAUGUACUCAGAGGGAGUCAGGAAGCUCACAGCUUUCCUUCACUGGGUAACCGAUGCUGGCAAGUUCUAGGGGUUCACUUCUCCAUGGAACUCUGCAGUCCUGACACAGAGAACAGUGACACUGCAGAGAAAAGCCUUUUCCCCUCAAUUCCAAUUUGGAAAUCCAUAUCUCUUUCCUUUUACUCUGUCAAUCCAACAUAAUGCCUGAAAACUUAGAAAAUGCAUAGGAAGAUUUGGCAGGCUGCAAGCUUUACAUUUAUUUAUUUAUUUAAAAAAAUCAAUCAGUUAUAACUGGACCACCUCCUCCAAUCACAUAUUGAUUUCUGCGUGAUAUUUAUACUUUCUCUGGACAAAAGAAGAGAGAGAGAGGGGGGGGGAGUCUCCUAGUUCUAUCUGAAAGAGAGAGAGAGAAAGAGAGAGAGAAGAGGAGAGGAGAGGAGAGGAGAGGAGAGGAGAGGAGAUUGAAUAUAGAGGAUAAUUUUAUUUGAAGAGGAUUAAUUGACUUUCAAACAUAUUCUCUCCAAGUAGUCACUGACAAUUUACAGACAAAUUUUAUUUUCUCAAUGGCCUUGAGAGGAGAGGAGAGGAGAGGAGAGGAAAAGAGAGGAGAAGGGAAGGGAAGGGAAGGAAGAAAAGAGAAAGAGGGAGGGAGGGAAGGAAAUUAUGUUCUUGUUUGUUCAUAGAGCAUCAGUGUCUGGUCCUCUGUAAUUCCAAUCAAGUUAUUGGCAAUUUGAACAAUGUCAACUGAAAUCUUCAAAUUGUUGAAGACAUUUCCAAGUGAAAAUAUGAAAGUAAGCGUUGAUUUCUAGGAAGCUGGUUUCAAAGCCCAUACACUGGUGUACUUCUGUAUUUGCUCUUAGUCUUUUUGUGGCAGGUUUUUCAAUGGCCUGUUUCAAAUACCAGCGUUAUAGAUCUUUUUGAGCAAAUUCUUUCAGAUAGAGCAUCUUAAUGAGCACUUCUCACAGAUAAAAUAUUUCCAGUUGUUACAGUUAUCUGACAAAAGGACAUUGUCUUUGAGGAAUCUGCAGAGCUGGUUGGUUGACUGGGGUCCCUUUGUUGGUAACCUGGAAAGGCAAGUCAGCAUAUCUGAGGUUAGAUGGGAGUGUGACAAGGAUGCUUUUGAGGUUAACACAUGAGAGAGGCCUUUUUGUUUUAAUAUGGCACCCUCCUGUGGUGGUUUUAUCCUCCUCCUUCAGCAGCAGCAGUUUUGUCUCCAUAAAAAUAUGUUAAUGUAAUUUUAACAGUGUACGAAGAAAAGGAAGCCAUGUAUACACAAAGAUAGGUGGUAGAUAGUAUAUGUCUCCUGACUCUUAAUUCUCAAGGUAGUAGGGUACUUGAUUCUGCUCACCAGUCUCUCUAGUUCUAUCUUAAAAGUUCAAUAUGAUAAUUGCUUAAUAAUUAUUACAAUCUGUUUCCCUUAGUGCUCUAAACAUUAAGUGAUACAGAGAAAAUGCACUUGAUAAUUAUGUUAUAUUGCUCAUUUAGACACUCAUAUUUUGGUUUAUUUUCUGUAGGAUAAUGUUUGGAGGGCUGAGAAGAAGAUUUAGAAGCUGUGAAACUACCUCUUCAUAACAUUAGCUUUAAUUUCAAUCAGGAGCCUGUGAUAUUGAAAUGCUGAUAUGUCUCCUGAAGGGAAUCCAGUGUGCACAAUAAAAUUAACCUUUGAAUUGCCUCAUCUUUCUAGUUAUUCUCACAACAUUUUCCUCUGAGACUUACAGGUCGGGAGAAGGAGAGGAGCCAUCUUGCCAAAGCAAAGGUGCCUGAAGUCCGUCCUGAGAUAUUUCCACCCAGUACGCAUAGCCUGCUUUGAGCUUCUGCAAGUUUUUGGUGAUAAAAACCUAUGAGAGAAGAUCUG